AUAAUACAACCUGCUAAGUG
rnacentral:miRNA from 1 species